UACGUAGGGGGCAAGCGUUGUUCGGAAUUACUGGGCGUAAAGGGCUCGUAGGCGGCCAACUAAGUCGGACGUGAAAUCCCCAGGCUCAACCUGGGAACUGCGUCCGAUACUGGAUGGCUUGAAUCCGGGAGAGGGAUGCAGAAUUCCAGGUGUAGCGGUGAAAUGCGUAGAUAUCUGGAGGAAUACCGGUGGCGAAGGCGGCAUCCUGGACCGGCAUUGACGCUGAGGAGCGAAAGCCAGGGGAGCAAACGGG
rnacentral:rRNA from 1 species